ACAAGAACCAAGAUAUAUCAUGUACAGAUACAAAUUCCCAAUGAUGAAUGUGAUCAUAAUGUUCACCUAAAAUGAACCAAUAAAUUUAAUGAAUAAAAAGAAAACAGGAAAAUUCAUCAGCCAAGGGAAAAAAAUCAAAGUCUUGAUUUAUGACCUGAAUGCCAGCUGCUUGUACUUCCAGAUGGUUUCAGAUGGAGAUUUAACCCUUAAAGAGUUCUGGAAGGAACAUUUCAACAUCCUUUCCUGUUUGCGGUUAAUUGAGAAAUCCUGGCCCAAUGUCUCUCUAAGGACACUGAGGUCUGCCUUUGUACAGGAGAAGGACUUUGAAGGCUGUGUAGAGUGGAGCCUGAGCACUCAAUUGACCAACUUGCAUUACAACCAGCCCUCAGGAAAAAAUUGAGUUUGUAAGUCAAGUGUCCACUGUUUCUAAUUUGCUCUAGAUUCUCCUGGCCAUUCAAGAGAUAAAUGCUUCCCUAAUCCUCCCUCGUUCCCACCUGGAUUUUGCAUCUGCCUGGGGACCCUGAGCUCCUUAAUGCAGAAGGCUUGAUCUCUGAUACACUUGAGGAACACAUCUCUGGGGUUUUUACAUUAUUCAAACCAGUGCCAAUACAGAGCAGAGAACAUUUCUGUUCUCCCACGGGUGGAAACACAAUUUACAUUCACUUUCCAGGCCUACUUCAAAAUGAUGCACUUCCUAAUCUUUUGAGAGGUAGGAGGAUUUGUAUAUUUCUCAAUGAUUUACAUGAAAUGAUAUUUUUGUUUUUCAAAUUAACAUGUACAUGUAACAGCAGUGAGAGUCAGGAUGUGGAAAUUAUUUUGGGUCUCACUCUAGCAUGCCAUAGGCAUCCACCCCCAUGCUGGGACGUGUCACUUGGGAGCCCUGGGGAAUCACCUGGGGAGUCCCCAGGCCACAGCCAGUCCUGGGAGAUCAGCUCAGAUGAACCUCCAGGUCGGGUGUGGAGCCCACACAGUUGGCCAGAUGGGCAGCUGGGUGACAACUAGGUUUCAUUUAAUUUACAGUCUUCCAGACUCAAGAGAAUUUUACUCAUCAAGUUACAAAGUUUGACAAUUAAUUAGUAAAGUAGGCAAAAGGGAAACCUGCACUUAAAACCAGAGCUGGGAAAAGAGAUAGUUACCUUGGGUGGAUUCCAAAAUCUGGAGGUGGGAGACACGUGGUUUUCACAAUUCCAUGGUCCUGAAGCUCAACAGGGUCCCAAGAAAAGGGUGGAGUGAAUGUGUGCACACGUGUGUAUGCUUGUGUGUAUGAGUAUGUGUGCAUGUGUGUAUAAACAUACAUGCAUGGGUGCUUGCCAAUGUGUGUGUAUAUUCACCUGUAUGUGCAUGCCUAUGUGUAUGUGCAUGCUUGUGAGUGUGUGUAUGCAUGUUACAUGUGGGCAGAAGAGUGUGUGGUGUGUGCAUGUGCUUCCAGGUGUGCAUGUUGUGUGGAUAUGAGUGUGCAAAUGUGUGUACAGGCUAUGAGCACAUAAGCAUGUGUGUGCAUGUAGCAGGGAUCUCAAAACUGGGCAAAGCCUCUGCCUCUGUCCAUGGCUGGCACAGGCUGAGCUUUUGCAGUGCUCUGCUGACUCUGGGGUCCUUGGUUUGCAGUUGUUUCUGAUACUCACAGUGAGUUUUGAAAGGCUUAUGGCAAAUAUCAGUUUGAUUUCUAGAAUUUUUAACUCAUUUUCUAUUAACUGUGUCAGAAGACAGUUUACAAUGAAGACUUUUAUUUUCUUUCCUUCAGGCCACUGAUUUGAUCUGAACCACAAAAAGGCAAAGUUUAUUUUGUGCGUGUACCCUAGAAUUCAUCACCACUGCUGCUGGUACUAAGUUAUGCUCACUCCAAGAGCCUCUCUGGGUGGGCCCAUGUAGGUGCAGGUCACAUCCACUUAUGGCUCAUGUUCAUGUUCUUGUCACUUUUAACUAAAUCUUAAGUGUGAACCUGCCACAUUCACCAAUGUCCCUCUUGUCACAUGCUCUGUAACAUAAAGACUAAAUUACAGGCCCUUAAAAAAGGAGAGCCUGUGGCCUACCACCCUGCACAAUAGUGUAGCUCAGGAAUGGAGAACUUGCCUAACUUCCACAGGGUCCUGGGUUUGAUCUCCAGCACAGAAAGUGGGGGAAAAAAGUAAAGAACAGGCUUUGGGCAACUAAAUGCUUUCCCUCUUCAUAUCCUUUUUCCUCUACUACUCCUAUCAUUCAUUUAUUUCCUUAAUUAAUUUUCUGCUGUUUGCAGUGUCCAGCUCAGAACUGGUACCAGGGACAUAGUGAUUGUGUUAGUCAGCUUUUUUUUUUUUUACUGUAACAAAUUACCUGAGGUAAUCAACUUAAAGAGAGAGAAGGUUUAUUUGCACUUAGGGUUUCAGAGAUGAUGAAUCAGCCCAGUUGCUUUUGGCCUGUGAUGAGGCAGCACAACAUGGCAAGAGGACUUCAUAGAGCUCAGCUUCUUACCUCAUGGCCAGGAAGUGAAGGAAAGGAAAAGGAAGGUUACUGGAGCCCCACAGCCAUUUUGAGUGCACAGCCCCAGCGACCUGCAGACUUCCCACUGGGCCCCACCUCUCCAAGGUUCCUCAUUUCCCAGUAUUGCCAGGCUAGAGACAAAACCUUUGAGGGGCACCAGAUCCAAACUACAGCAGAGAUGGACAGAACCCGAAAUUCUGUCCUCAAAAGGCUCAUCAUCUACUGGGGUUGAGGGAGGUUCAGAGCACCCAGGCACAACAAGUGUAAAACCUGCUCUCAGAGAGCAGAAUGACCCCACCCCCCAGCGGGAGGGAGAAGGCUCCCAAGGCCCGACCUUCAACUGCAGAAAGCAAAUAGGCAGAGCCCAGCUGGCGAGGAGCCUGGCUGUGGCACCAGGCAUGGAGACUAUGAGCUGAACGGACAUUGCUCACAGUUGAAAUGGCUCAAGAUGGUGUGGUAUGUGUUUGAGUGUGUGCUGCAGGGUUAGAUACUCGGGAUUUCUAACUCUUCAGACAGCACCCAGCCCUUGCAGGCCUCAUGCAGGGGUGGGGAUGUGUGUGUGAGGUCACGUGUGGGCAGGAGGGCAGCCAGAGGAUAUGGAGGAGGAUGGCAGGCCUGGCUGUGAGUAUCAGCUGGGCUGAGGCUGCAGGAAUGAGGAGAGAGACAGGAAACUGGACUGGGAAGUUGGGAACAGCUCAAGUUCAUGAUGGAUCACUGUGAGACUCUGUGCAGCCUGCCCUGAGCAGUGGCACCUAGAAGAAGAGGCAGAAGCACCCCAAGAGGAUGUAUUUCUUUGAGCUGUAAAGCGGGAAGCUUUCUUUCUUCUACCGUGAUGUUUCUGCCUUGGAGCCAGCCUACUGAAACCUCUGAAGCCAUGAGCCCAAAUAAACCUGCCCUCCUUUAAGUUGCAAGUGUCAGAUAUUUUGUUCAUAGCAACAAAAACCUGGCAAAUUCACCCUGAAAACAUCAAGAGAGAGAUGCUCUGGGGAAAAGAUGCUGCUGAUACUCUUGGCCCUUAGUGGCCUCAAUCCUGCAGCCUGGUCCCCACCACAACUUCACCAAAGCAAAUGGGUAUCCCAGGAGCUGACCCCAGGAGCUUGGGGGCUGAGGAACUCUAAGAGAUGCUUUGACCUCCCAGGAGUCAGAACAGGCUGAAAGAGGCAUCUACCUAUCUUAUCUAUUGACGUCAAGUGUUCUUGAAGGCACAUUUGUUGGUGGCACAAGAAAUUCAGCAGAAAUGAGCCUUGGUAAAGAAUAAUGUCCCUAAGAACUUGCUCCUCCAAUAACCAUGGCAGAAAGCACCUGGGAAGUUUCUUACAAUGCAGUCCUCAGCUCCUGCCUGCCUAGAAGUCCUGCUCCAGUGCUGCCUAGAGUCCAUGUUUUAACAGAAACAGUGUUAGUUUCCUGGGCACUUUGGGUGGGAAUGAGCUCUGAGCUGGAGAAUGUUCAGGCUCUCUGCAUACAGAUCUACCUAGGGAAUUUUUCAUAGCCCUGGGUCCAGACCACACCCCAGAUGCACGGAUCCAGAAUGCCUGGAGGAGCAGGGAGGCUGGCUGCAGUAUAGUUCCCCAGGAUACCAGGGCCUAGGAACUCUUCUAGGCUUACCUGCCAGGUUUGGCUCCCCCGACCCUACAUCUCCAUCUCCCUGCAUACCUGCUAAUCAUGAUCUUUACCUGGUUUCCGUCUCUGCUGUGCAUCGAGAAGCUUUCACCUGCCUUCUACACUCUGUGUCCUCACCCUCUGCUCUGCAGCUUCCCCUUGCUCUCCUGCUCGUCCUCUGUGGCUUUCAGCAGGGCUGUAUCUCAGUAUCCUGGCCAGUGGCUGGGCUAUCAUCUCCUCCUGUCUGGAUCCUACCCUCCUCAGUGUGCUGUGGACUGCCUUUCAACACAUGCUGGCAGCAGGCAUCUCCAGAGUUGACACUUUACCAUCCCUGUCACUUCUUCCAUCCUUCCUCUGACUUCCUGGGGUCAGGCUUUGGGCCCUGUUAUACUACCAAACUCUUCUGACCCAUCAGUGGGUUGACCGCCGGUGGAAACACUCCUUGUUUUGGGCACUGCACCUCUCUGGUCCCCCUGCCUGGCUGCUGCACCUCCCAGACCCUCUGGUAAGAUUCUACCCAUUGCCUGUGGCCCAAGCCCACCAGCUCUGAGGAGUCAUUUUCAACCUCCUCUCUCAUCUGUCUAGGUACCUGUAUUUAGACUGCAUCUUUGUUGCCAGUGUGGCUCUGUCCAGCCCAAAUCUGAGCCCUGACUCUCUGGGUCCCUUGACCUGCCAGCCACUAAGAGUACAAGGAGACACUCUCUCAAUGGAAAAAUGGUUUUUUUUAAUAAUUUGGCCAGAUGGAGAGAGAAGCUAGUCUGCUUCACCCUGGAGUGCGUGAAAGUAGUUCAAUUUGUAGAUAAGGCAGAACCCAGAAAACAUACAUGUGUAAAUUUGGCCAAGGCCCCAGCCACAGGGACUCAGGGAAUGUGGUCUUCCUCAGCUGUCAGGAGUUACAGCUGGUGACAGAGCCUCCAGGAAGCCACCCCAGUGCAGGUUUCUGAGCACACUCAAGGGUACUGUAAUCCAGAAAGGAAAAAUGGCAGACAUGAACUGUGCUAUGGGGCACAGCAGGCACAGGGGACCAGGGACAAUGAGCAAUAGCCUCAAGCACCCUCAGAGGCCCCAUGUGCAAUGCAGGGAUGUAAUAGGUCAGUGCUUACCGUCUCAGCCAGAGUACAGAGGCUGACUUCAAUGUGGGCUGUGGGAAAGGGUGUCACAACGCACCAUCCCAUCCAAGGCAAAAGGGAGGCUUUCAGAGGCAAGAGAGAUAGAGAAUCUGCCCUGGGAUUUCCUGGCUAAGUGGGAUUUGAUGACAGGACUUGGAGUGGCUCCUAGGAAAGCAUAGGGGACUCUUGGUUCUAACCAGUGCCCAACCAAAGGCAGAGGGAGCCUUCUCUUCCCUCUCAUAGUGGACUGGUUGCCAAGAACUGAGAUCAAAGACUGCAGAAUGCCCAGCCAGGGCAGGAUGUGGUCAGCUGCAGUGACAGGGCUGCAUAGUCACACCCCUUCCCAGAAGGAGUUUCCUCUCUGCAAAGACUGCCCAAGCAUGCAUGGGAGGGAAGAGAUCAAGGCAGAGGUUGACCCCAAAGUCACACUCAGAGUCCAGCCCCACAGGGAGGGUGGGACCCUGUGUGUCUUGCUGGCUAGGAAAUGUCUUAUUCAUCUUAAAGAUUAUGACAAAGGAGAGGUCCAAACUGUUCCCUGACACCAUGACUAGAGCUCUUGUUUUUGAAG
rnacentral:lncRNA from 1 species